GGAGGAAUACCCAAGUCCGGCUGAAGGGAUCGGUCUUGAAAACCGACAGGGGCUUACGGCUCGCGGGGGUUCGAAUCCCUCUUCCUCCG
rnacentral:tRNA from 1 species